CUACGGGCGGCAGCAGUAGAGAAUCUUCCGCAAUGGGCGAAAGCCUGACGGAGCAAUAUCGCGUGGGUGAUGAAGGCCUAACGGUUGUAAAACCCUUUUCUGGAGGAAUAAUUCUGAAGGUACUCCAGGAAUAAGCACCGGCUAACUCCGUGCCAGCAGCCGCGGUAAUACGGAGGGUGCAAGCGUUACCCGGAAUCAUUGGGCGGAAAGCGGUCCGCAGGCCGUUUGUUAAGCUGGAUAUUAAAUCUUAAAGCCCAACUUUAAGGCUGUAUCCAGAACUGACAAACUAGAGGCAUUCAGAGGUACAUGGAAUUCUGUGUGUAGGGGUAAAAUCCGUAGAUACACAGAGGAACACCAAAAGCGAAGGCAAUGUACUGGGAAUGUCCUGACGCUCAUGGACGAAAGCGUAGGUAGCGAACGGGAUUAGAUACCCUAGUAGUC
rnacentral:rRNA from 1 species